rnacentral:piRNA from 1 species
UGAGGCUACUGUGCUACAGCAAACAGA